rnacentral:rRNA from 1 species
UACGUAGGGUCCGAGCGUUGUCCGGAAUUACUGGGCGUAAAGAGCUCGUAGGUGGUUUGUCGCGUCGUUCGUGAAAACUCACAGCUUAACUGUGGGCGUGCGGGCGAUACGGGCGGACUGGAGUACUGCAGGGGAGACUGGAAUUCCUGGUGUAGCGGUGGAAUGCGCAGAUAUCAGGAGGAACACCGGUGGCGAAGGCGGGUCUCUGGGCCGAUACUGACGCUGAGGAGCGAAAGCGUGGGGAGCGAACAGG